rnacentral:rRNA from 1 species
AUUGAACGCUGGCGGCAGGCCUAACACAUGCAAGUCGAGCGGGGUUUUCGGACCUAGCGGCGGACGGGUGAGUAAUGCGUAGGAAGCUGCCCGAUAGAGGGGGAUACCAGUUGGAAACGACUGUUAAUACCGCAUAAUGUCUACGGACCAAAGUGUGGGACCUUCGGGCCACAUGCUAUCGGAUGCGCCUACGUGGGAUUAGCUAGUUGGUGAGGUAAUGGCUCACCAAGGCGACGAUCUCUAGCUGGUUUGAGAGGAUGAUCAGCCACACUGGAACUGAGACACGGUCCAGACUCCUACGAGGUGCAGCAGUGGGGAAUAUUGGACAAUGGGCGCAAGCCUGAUCCAGCCAUGCCGCGUGUGUGAAGAAGGCCUUCGGGUUGUAAGGCGCUUUCAGCGAGGAGGAAGGGUGGUGUGUUAAUAGCACAUCAUUUUGACGUUACUCGCAGAAGAAGCACCGGCUAACUCUGUGCCAGCAGCCGCCGUAACAC